AUUGAACGCUGGCGGCAGGCCUAACACAUGCAAGUCGAACGGUAACAGGAAGCAGCUUGCUGCUUUGCUGACGAGUGGCGGACGGGUGAGUAAUGUCUGGGAAACUGCCUGAUGGAGGGGGAUAACUACUGGAAACGGUAGCUAAUACCGCAUAACGUCGCAAGACCAAAGAGGGGGACCUUCGGGCCUCUUGCCCUCGGAUGUGCCCAGAUGGGAUUAGCUAGUAGGUGGGGUAACGGCUCACCUAGGCGACGAUCCCUAGCUGGUCUGAGAGGAUGACCAGCCACACUGGAACUGAGACACGGUCCAGACUCCUACGGGAGGCAGCAGUGGGGAAUAUUGCACAAUGGGCGCAAGCCUGAUGCAGCCAUGCCGCGUGUAUGAAGAAGGCCUUCGGGUUGUAAAGUACUUUCAGCGGGGAGGAAGGGAGUAAAGUUAAUACCUUUGCUCAUUGACGUUACCCGCAGAAGAAGCACCGGCUAACUCCGUG
rnacentral:rRNA from 1 species